UAUCUCUGUAGAGUCUGCAUAUCAAUAAGCGGAGGAAAAGCCGGUGAGUUGCAUGAGUACGCGCAGAAUGGCGGCGCUGGCGAUAUGCAUGGUGAUGCUGGUGACCACAGCAGUCGCAGGCGCAGCGGGACUUUUGUUUUCGGAUGAAUACGACGCAGUGCGGCUGGCGCACCGUGCGUUGGCGGAGGAAUAUGGUAUCACUGAGGAGAUGCAGACCUAUUUUGCCCAAGAGGUAUGCGAGGAAAACGGCGUGACUAAGGUCAUUUUCAACGGCAUGACAGGUAUGUCUCAUGUGCUGGGCGAGUACAUCGUGACCAUCGAGGACGGCAAUGCUACGGUUACAUGGUCGCAUGACGGGCAGUCUACCGAGGGGGAGCUUGACGCGCACGCAUGGGGCGCAAAGCAGCUUGAGAUCUUGCUGGAGAUGGCCAAGCAGGAAAAUGGUUUUUCCCGUGGCUAUCACAAGGCGCAGGAGAUCCGCGCGCAGAUGGAUGGUGAAGAGCUGUCGGUGUCCAUCACCAAGGGCGGCAAUGCGAGCAUUGUGAAACUCGAGGGAACGCAGAUUGAUCGGGCGGUUAUCAGUGUCAGCGAGGAGGGAGCCAUUGCGAUUGCCAAGCAGGCGUUUGCGCAUGAAUACGCCCUCACGCAGGAACAGCUUGACCUGAUGCUCUAUGAAAAGGACUACGCGGGCUAUACCUACGCUUAGGAUGUUGACGAGACUGUCGAUCUCAUCUAUACAUGACUCUGGCAUAUCAAUAAGCGGAGGAAAAGGCGGCGGAGGGUAUUGGUGUGGGCGUACCUGCGCUUAGGAUGUUGACACGCGGGCGUGCUCGAUCUAUACAUGACUCUGCGCAUAUCAAUAAGCGGAGGAAAAGGCUGCGGAACUGAACGACCGCUACCUACGCUUAGGAUGUUGACACACGCGCGUGCUUGAUCUAUACAUGACUCUGCGCAUAUCAAUAAGCGGAGGAAAAGUACCUACGCUUAGGAUGUUGACACACGCGCGUGCUCGACUCUAUACAUGACUCUGCGCAUAUCAAUAAGCGGAGGAAAAGCGCAUUAAAGGUCCAGAUACCUACGCUUAGGAUGUUGACGAGGACUGUCGAUCUCAUCUAUACAUGACUCUGCGCAUAUCAAUAAGCUGGAGGAAAAGGCACUACCUACGCUUAGGAUGUUGAUCUACAGAGCGAGAGU
rnacentral:rRNA from 1 species